rnacentral:rRNA from 1 species
GACGAACGCUGGCGGCGUGCUUAACACAUGCAAGUCGAACGAAGAGCGAUGGAAGCUUGCUUCUAUCAAUCUUAGUGGCGAACGGGUGAGUAACGCGUAAUCAACCUGCCCUUCAGAGGGGGACAACAGUUGGAAACGACUGCUAAUACCGCAUACGAUCUGACCUCGGCAUCGAGGAUAGAUGAAAGGUGGCCUCUACAUGUAAGCUAUCACUGAAGGAGGGGAUUGCGUCUGAUUAGCUAGUUGGAGGGGUAACGGCCCACCAAGGCGAUGAUCAGUAGCCGGUCUGAGAGGAUGAACGGCCACAUUGGGACUGAGACACGGCCCAGACUCCUACGGGAGGCAGCAGUGGGGAAUCUUCCGCAAUGGACGAAAGUCUGACGGAGCAACGCCGCGUGAGGGAUGACGGCCUUCGGGUUGUAAAGCUCUGUUAAUCGGGACGAAAGGCCUUUUUGCGAAUAGUGAGAAGGAUUGACGGUACCGGAAGAGAAAGCCACGGCUAACUACGUG